CACGGGGGGAGCAAGCGUUGUUCGGAAUUACUGGGCGUAAAGGGCGUGUAGGCGGUUGGGUAAGUGGGAUGUGAAAUGCCUCGGCUCACCCGAGGAUCUGCAUCCCAAACUGCCCGACUUGAGUAUGGGAGAGGAUGAGGGAAUUCCUGGUGUAGCGGUGAAAUGCGUAGAUAUCAGGAGGAACACCGGUGGCGAAGGCGCUCAUCUGGCCCAAUACUGACGCUGAGGCGCGAAAGCUAGGGGAGCAAACGGG
rnacentral:rRNA from 1 species